AUUGAACGCUGGCGGCAUGCUUUACACAUGCAAGUCGAACGGUAACAGGCCGCAAGGUGCUGACGAGUGGCGAACGGGUGAGUAAUGCAUCGGAACGUGCCCAGUCGUGGGGGAUAACGCAGCGAAAGCUGCGCUAAUACCGCAUACGAUCUCUGGAUGAAAGCGGGGGACCGAAAGGCCUCGCGCGAUUGGAGCGGCCGGUGUCAGAUUAGGUGUUUGGUGGGGUAAAGGCCCACCAAGCCAACGAUCUGUAGCUGGUCUGAGAGGACGACCAGCCACCCUGGGACUGAGACACGGCCCAGACUCCUACGGGAGGCAGCAGUGGGGAAUUUUGGACAAUGGGCGCAAGCCUGAUCCAGCAAUGCCGCGUGCAGGAAGAAGGCCUUCGGGUUGUAAACUGCUUUUGUACGGAACGAAACGGUCCGGGUUAAUACCCUGGGCUAAUGACGGUACCGUAAGAAUAAGCACCGGCUAACUACGUGCCAGCCGCCGCCGUAACAC
rnacentral:rRNA from 1 species